CCAUGAACAGGAUUUUCCACAGACCCUUGUCCAGCCGGUUCUCAGUUAUAUUCACUUGGAAGGUCCAGUUCAGUGGUGCCUUUGUUUUGUUGCUCUUUAAAGAGACACCUUCUGCAACUGCCUGGAAUUCUUGUAUCUACUAUAGCUGCUUCCUUUUGCAGUUAAUAUUAUCAAAGUGAGAUUCUGCAUAGAUAAAACCUGCAUUUGCUAAAUAGGAAGGGAGCAAAAUAACAGUGGAGCAUGUUUGUAGUUAAAGUCUGUAGAGUUCUGUUACCAAGAAACAGAAUCUAGUGCCACACCAGUCUGGAUGUACAACAUUACACACAUUAACACUUAAUCACCGUCCCGACAUGGGAUGACCCAGCAAAUGCUGAAGUUCCAAAGGCUAGUUUUGUAGGAAUGCAGUUACGACAAUUUGCAAUGCUUCUUUAAAUGUAUUCUUAUGUCAUCGUUCCAGGCAUUAUUUUUGCCUGGAAGCACAGCAUUUGCUAGAUUUUGUGUGAACUGUAAUUUACAUUGGAACAACAGCUGGAGUAUGUGAGAAAUUACACCUCUGGAUGUGUUCUGUAAUGGCUACUGGGCAUGGAUUGGCUUUUCAGGACUGACAAGGAUGAAACAGACUGUGAAGACCUUUUCCCAUUACAGGAGUUUGACCCGCUUCACUCAUAAGGGAAGUCAUUUGUUGGAUUAGUCUGUUGUGCUAUUUCCACAUUAGGUGUUACGUACAAAGGGACACUUAGGAAUGGUACUGAUCUUGAACUAUGGCAUUAAUGCGGAUUAUCACUGAGCAGGAAGAAGCUUUGUUUACUUCCAUUUGAAAGCAGAGGAAACUAAAAUAAACAUUGGAGAGUGUCUGCUUCAGAUUUAGAUGUAGUUUAUGUCAUCUGCCUUUGAGAUGCUUCAGAAGAACCUUCUGCCAUGGCCUCACAUCAGUGAUGACAUCGCUUCUCUGCACUGUGCUUCCAGUUGCAAGUUGAAGGGAUGUGCUGAAUUUGCUUAUUUCUGUCAUUCAUCAAAGCAUCUUGGCACACCAGAUCUGCAGCCAGGCAAAUGGGCUCCUGCAUUUUGGUUCUAUGCAGGAACAAGUUUAGAGAAUAAAGUCACUUGAAAAUCAUCUGCUGUCCGGAAUCAGUUGAGGAGACAUCUUUGGUGAUCCAAUAAAACAGUAUGUACAUCUAAGCGACUGUCUUCU
rnacentral:lncRNA from 14 species